rnacentral:piRNA from 1 species
UGAAUUCAACCAAUUGACUUAGACUUUC